rnacentral:tRNA from 2 species
GCCGCCUUAGCUCAGCUGGUAGAGCGUUUCCAUGGUAAGGAAGAGGUCGUCGGUUCAAGCCCGACAGGUGGCUC